rnacentral:tRNA from 1 species
UUCGUAUAUGGCCCAUGGAAGGACCCGGCAGGCUUCAAUUUUCCCGGUACGCCGAUGUUCGAGACGUGGAUGCAGCU